AGACGAGACACAAAGUGUGAGAGCACGAAGAACAACCUACACGGCCCUGCCCUGGGCCUGCAACCUCACAGGAGCAGCAGUGUCACCCCCCUUCCCUUCAGCGAGGGCUGUCCCCUCCCAACAAGCUGUGAGAAGGGGGAGCCCCAAACAACACCUUUCUUGCCUGCCCUACAAGCCCCUUGUCCUGUUCCAGUCCCCAGCAUGAGGCUGCUGGGCAAGCAGGAGCUCUGGGGGGCUGAAACCCAGAGCCAAUGUGUGUCAUCAAACUUGGCACCACUGGCUGCCAGGGAGAUCUGCUCCUUUCUGUUUCUCUCGCUCACCUGCAGCCCUCAAUGAGCCAGUUCAGGUGCCUGAACAGGCAGAAAAUCAACCCAGCUGGAACAAGUUAAGUUUUCAGCAGGUUCUCAUGCCUGAGCUGGUUCAUGGUGGGCUUGGACCAUCUCUUUCAGGGCAGCACGAUGGGGCAGUGCCUCGGCCAUCCUGCAAAAGCCCACGAGCUGCUGGCAUGAAGGAAACCCUGGUCCUGUCCCCCCAGCUUGCACAGAAGCUGCAGAGAUGAGUCUCUUCUGCCAAGGCACAGCUUACACACAAAAGGCAGCAAAGCAUCCAACCAAGCAGCUGGAGCUCCUGCCUCUCUGCACAAUGCACCAGGAUACAAAGUACCUUCUGCAGGACCAGCGUUCAGACCCAUCGAAUACCUCAGCCUGCCUUCAGUCUGGGGCGAAGGAUGGACAGUGCUUGCUGACACCUCAGACCAUGGCCCCUGCUUCUCAGUGCCCCUGUGCAGUGCUCAGCAGCACUUCAGCUGCUCUUUCAGCUCCAAGGAAGUCUGAGACAUUUGCCUGCAGGUGGGUGGGGAGGAGCACUGAACCUCCUUGAGUUUGCUUCUGCUAAAAGCCAACCUCAGCUGCUGCCACCUCACUCUCCUGCACCUCGUGCUCCGUUCUGGGAUGUGAAGCUGCACUGAGACAGUUGAGGGCAGAUGUGUGUGACCCUUAGCAAGGGCAACCUCCCUAACACAGACUAGACAGCUCACUGCAGGAAAAUUUGGAAGUCUGGGUUCCUGGAAAGCCACUCUGACCAGGUCUGCAGCAGCCCUCCACCAUCAGCCCACAGGGAUGGCAGAACAAGCCUGAUUAAACCGACUGCAGCUUUGCUGCUCUCUUCCACGGCAAAGCAAGGUCAGGCUGAGCUGCACGCAGGCAUCUCAAGUUUCUUCAACCACCCCACAAAGCAGAACCCAAACACAUGGAGCUUGACCUAUUUUCUGCAAAAGCUACACGAUCACAGACUGAUUUAGGGCAGUGGUGGACGUUGCUUCACCUGCACAUGGGAAGUGGAGCUCAUCCUGGAGCUCUGAAGCCUGGGUACGUUGGGAACAACAGCAUGCUGGAGACCUUCAGCAGCCUGGCCUGAACGCUGCACAGGCUGCACGUGGCACGCUGGGCUCAGGGUCUCUCUAGUACUUAUGCUUGGUAUUAACAGUUCAGGCAAAAAUAAUUACUUUGGACCCUUGGGGAUGCAUUUUUCUUCCUUUUUAUGAAAUAAAACCGUCCUCCUCUGCACACAUAAAGCAUGUGUGUUAAAUUCAGAACUAAGUCCUGGUUUUUUUCUUUUCAGAUUGAAAUUGCUCAGAACCUUGCUCCUAACAUCUGACUUCAGGAGUAGGUGUACGUUUAUCAGCACCAGAGUUUAGGCUCUCCUCUCUUGUGGAGAGGCACAUAAGCUUGUACACACACACACACAUGCUGGCACAGGCACAAUGAAAAAGCGUUUGCUCCCCCACUGCUCACCUGCCAGCUGGGGUUACUAAACUUUUCCCUUGAAAUAAAAAUGCUGUGGAAUAAUAAGUCCCACCUGUCGGCCAGUUCUUUCUUUCUUUUUUUCCAGGUCCUUCUGCUCCUUUCAUCAUAGCUACAUGGAAAAGCCUUGAUGUGUUAUAGCUGUGUGUGCUAGAGUAAAGGCCACCUCAGCUUUUCCAUUAUAAACCCCAGUUUUGAGGGGUUUAUAAAACUCUGCUGCAAGAAGUUUGCUCCAGGGCUGUUAACAAAGCAAAGAAACGGGGCUGGAACCAGGAUGGAGUUUAUUUUUUCUCCUCCUUUCUUAAUUAAAAUUUGGCAAGUGAUUGAUCCACAAUACAGGCUAAUCACUUGGGGUAGUAGUUUGAAAAAUACAUUAACGAGAGUUGAGAUGUUGAAAAGUCGUUAGGGCUUACAUGGUGCCAGGAAGGAUUGGAGGAGUUUGUCUUAAAGUUGCCUCUUAAAAAAAAAUGGUGUGACGUCUGCUAUAAAUUGGCUAAAGCAGGGAAACUCAAAAGGAAGGAUUUUAGGCACUUCCUGCUGUCCUGUGGGUCUAAAAAUGGGCAAUUUCCAAGCACAACAUGCCACCAGGCACAGAG